rnacentral:rRNA from 1 species
CCCAGACUCCUACGGGAGGCAGCAGUCGAGAAUCAUUCACAAUGGGGGAAACCCUGAUGGUGCGACGCCGCGUGGGGGAAUGAAGGUCUUCGGAUUGUAAACCCCUGUCAUGUGGGAGCAAAUUAAAAAGAUAGUACCACAAGAGGAAGAGACGGCUAACUCUGUGCCAGCAGCCGCGGUAAUACGGGGGAUGCAAGCGUUGUCCGGAAUCAUUGGGCGUAAAGAGUUCGUAGGUGGCACGUUAAGUCUGGUGUUAAAUGCAGAGGCUCAACCUCUGUUCGGCACUGGAUACUGGCGAGCUUGAAUGCGGUAGAGGUAAAGGGAAUUCCUGGUGUAGCGGUGAAAUGCGUAGAUAUCAGGAGGAACAUCGGUGGCGUAAGCGCUUUACUGGGCCGUAAUUGACACUGAGGAACGAAAGCCAGGGGAGCAAAUGGGAUUAGAUACCCCAGUACUG